UCGUAGGCUGCAACUCGCCUACGUGAAGUCGGAAUCGCUAGUAAUCGCAGGUCAGCACACUGCGGUGAAUACGUUCCCGGGCCUUGUACACACCGCCCGUCACACCACGAAAGUCGGAAGUGCCCAAAGCCGGUGGGGUAACCUUCGGGAGCCAGCCGUCUAAGGUAAAGUCGAUGAUUGGGGUGAAGUCGUAACAAGGUAGCCGUAUCGGAAGGUGCGGCUGGAUCA
rnacentral:rRNA from 1 species